UACGUAGGUGGCGAGCGUUGUCCGGAUUUACUGGGCGUAAAGCGUACGCAGGCUGUUCGUUAAGUCGGGUGUGAAAGCCCAGGGCUCAACCCUGGAACGGCGCCCGAAACUGGCGAGCUUGAAUGCGGGAGAGGGAAGCGGAAUUCCUGGUGUAGAGGUGAAAUUCGUAGGUAUCAGGAGGAACACCGGUGGCGAAAGCGGCUUCCUGGCCCGACAUUGACGCUCAUGUACGAAAGCGUGGGGAGCAAACAGG
rnacentral:rRNA from 1 species